UACGUAGGGGGCAAGCGUUGUCCGGAUUUAUUGGGCGUAAAGAGCGUGUAGGCGGCCAGGUAGGUCAGCUGUGAAAACUCGAGGCUCAACCUCGAGACGCCGGUUGAAACCAUCUGGCUAGAGUCCGGAAGAGGAGAGUGGAAUUCCUGGUGUAGCGGUGAAAUGCGUAGAGAUGUGGAGGAACACCGAUGGCGAAGGCAGCCUUCUGGGCCAACACUGACGCUCAUGCACGAAAGCGUGGGGAGCAAACAGG
rnacentral:rRNA from 1 species